UACAGAGGUCUCAAGCGUUGUUCGGAUUCAUUGGGCGUAAAGGGUGCGUAGGUGGCGCUGUAAGUCGGGUGUGAAAUUUCGGAGCUUAACUCCGAAACUGCAUUCGAUACUGCGGUGCUUGAGGACUGGAGAGGAGACUGGAAUUCACGGUGUAGCAGUGAAAUGCGUAGAUAUCGUGAGGAAGACCAGUGGCGAAGGCGGGUCUCUGGACAGUUCCUGACGCUGAGGCGCGAAGGCCAGGGGAGCAAACGGG
rnacentral:rRNA from 1 species